UCUAUCUCACACAGACAGACAACUUCCAGGAAAGACCACACAUUCAGAUCAGACAGUGUUACUAGACGUCAUAAAUGUACACGACUUGACUGUCAGACAGCGGGGACAUAGGAUGUCAAAGCAGAGACAAAAGCUUAUGUUAUGUUUAGAAGUGACAACAUGACAGUAAACAGAAGCAGAGGAUCCGAUUGGACAUUACCAAAGUAGAUGCUGUGUUUGUGGGAACAAGGGAUCUGUUUGUUGCUAUGCAGCUAGCGUGGACACACAAACACCCUAAUGACCUCAAAGUAUGAUUCAACUUGAAUGCAACAUGUCCUGCUUAUUAUUUUACCUGAUUAGUCAUAGUCAUCCUAAAAGUCAUUUUAAAUAGCACCUUCAAAAAUAAUAAUAAUCAGUGAUGAGUGAGAUGGUGCUUCUCAGUUCUUUAAUUGUGUCAUUUCCUUGAUUAACACUCACUUCUGGCAAAGUGAUCAGAAAAAAAAACCUAAUUAACAGUAGAGUUUACCCAAACCCCAACAAUGUCUUUAUACUGCUUCAUUUUUAGCCCAGUGACAUGCUUUUUUAUAAUACAUGGUAUGGUAAAGAAUGGUAGGGGUUAAAAUUAUUAAUAUGAGUCAGUACUUAUGACAUGUAAAUAUAGAACAUAGCGUAAUAAUAAUGUGGAGAAAGCAAUUACACACAAACACACUGAAAGUCAGAGAGGGAGCUGCAUUGAUGCUUCUUUAUUUAGUUCAAGUCUUUAUUUAAGUCAAGAGCUUCAAGUGUGUAUGUUCUUCUAUACUCUUUCCAUAUCACCUCCAAGCAUGCUAAAGUUAGUUCAGGUUAAUUCCCUGCUAUAGCUAUGUUGGUAAAUUAGUGUUGGUCUACUUACUUCUAGCCCAAAUGGAGAUCAAAUUUAUGGGCCAUGUCAUUAGAUGUAGUCACUUGAUAGGACUUAAUUACAUAGAUCUGUACACAAGAGUCAUUCAUGCAGUUAUCCAGUCAGCCAAUCAUGUGGCAGUAGAACAAUGUAUAAAGUCACACAGAUACAG
ensembl:lncRNA